GAUGAACGCUGGCGGCGUGCCUAAUACAUGCAAGUCGAGCGAACGGACGAGAAGCUUGCUUCUCUGAUGUUAGCGGCGGACGGGUGAGUAACACGUGGAUAACCUACCUAUAAGACUGGGAUAACUUCGGGAAACCGGAGCUAAUACCGGAUAAUAUUUUGAACCGCAUGGUUCAAAAGUAAAAGACGGUCUUGCUGUCACUUAUAGAAGGAUCCGCGCUGCAUUAGCUAGUUGGUAAGGUAACGGCUUACCAAGGCAACGAUGCAUAGCCGACCUGAGAGGGUGAUCGGCCACACUGGAACUGAGACACGGUCCAGACUCCUACGGGAGGCAGCAGUAGGGAAUCUUCCGCAAUGGGCGAAAGCCUGACGGAGCAACGCCGCGUGAGUGAUGAAGGUCUUCGGAUCGUAAAACUCUGUUAUUAGGGAAGAACAUAUGUGUAAGUAACUGUGCACAUCUUGACGGUACCUAAUCAGAAAGCCACGGCUAACUACGUG
rnacentral:rRNA from 1 species